AAGUCUGACGGAGCAACGCCGCGUGAGUGAUGAAGGUUUUCGGAUCGUAAAACUCUGUUGUUAGGGAAGAACAAGUUGGGUAGUAACUGACCCAACCUUGACGGUACCUAACCAGAAAGCCACGGCUAACUACGUGCCAGCAGCCGCGGUAAUACGUAGGUGGCAAGCGUUGUCCGGAAUUAUUGGGCGUAAAGCGCUCGCAGGCGGUCCUUUAAGUCUGAUGUGAAAUCUCGCGGCUCAACCGCGAACGGUCAUUGGAAACUGGAGGACUUGAGUACAGAAGAGGAGAGUGGAAUUCCACGUGUAGCGGUGAAAUGCGUAGAGAUGUGGAGGAACACCAGUGGCGAAGGCGACUCUCUGGUCUGUAACUGACGCUGAGGAGCGAAAGCGUGGGGAGCGAACAGGAUUAGAUACCCUGGUAGUCCACGCCGUAAACGAUGAGUGCUAGGUGUUAGGGGGUUUCCGCCCCUUAGUGCUGAAGUUAACGCAUUAAGCACUCCGCCUGGGGAGUACGGCCGCAAGGCUGAAACUCAAAAGAAUUGACGGGGGCCCGCACAAGCGGUGGAGCAUGUGGUUUAAUUCGAAGCAACGCGAAGAACCUUACCAGGUCUUGACAUCCUCUGCUAUUCCUAGAGAUAGGAAGUUCCCUUCGGGGACAGAGUGACAGGUGGUGCAUGGUUGUCGUCAGCUCGUGUCGUGAGAUGUUGGGUUAAGUCCCGCAACGAGCGCAACCCUUGAUCUUAGUUGCCAGCAUUUAGUUGGGCACUCUAAGGUGACUGCCGGUGACAAACCGGAGGAAG
rnacentral:rRNA from 1 species